AGCGUACACGGUGGAUGCCCUGGCAGUCAGAGGCGAUGAAGGACGUGCUAAUCUGCGAUAAGCGUCGGUGAGGUGAUAUGAACCGUUAUAACCGGCGAUUUCCGAAUGGGGAAACCCAGUGUGUUUCGACACACUAUCAUUAACUGAAUCCAUAGGUUAAUGAGGCGAACCGGGGGAACUGAAACAUCUAAGUACCCCGAGGAAAAGAAAUCAACCGAGAUUCCCCCAGUAGCGGCGAGCGAACGGGGAGGAGCCCAGAGCCUGAAUCAGUGUGUGUGUUAGUGGAAGCGUCUGGAAAGGCGUGCGAUACAGGGUGACAGCCCCGUACACAAAAAUGCACAUAUUGUGAGCUCGAUGAGUAGGGCGGGACACGUGGUAUCCUGUCUGAAUAUGGGGGGACCAUCCUCCAAGGCUAAAUACUCCUGACUGACCGAUAGUGAACCAGUACCGUGAGGGAAAGGCGAAAAGAACCCCGGCGAGGGGAGUGAAAAAGAACCUGAAACCGUGUACGUACAAGCAGUGGGAGCCUCUUAAUGGGGUGACUGCGUACCUUUUGUAUAAUGGGUCAGCGACUUAUAUUCUGUAGCAAGGUUAACCGAAUAGGGGAGCCGAAGGGAAACCGAGUCUUAACUGGGCGUUAAGUUGCAGGGUAUAGACCCGAAACCCGGUGAUCUAGCCAUGGGCAGGUUGAAGGUUGGGUAACACUAACUGGAGGACCGAACCGACUAAUGUUGAAAAAUUAGCGGAUGACUUGUGGCUGGGGGUGAAAGGCCAAUCAAACCGGGAGAUAGCUGGUUCUCCCCGAAAGCUAUUUAGGUAGCGCCUCGUGAAUUCAUCUCCGGGGGUAGAGCACUGUUUCGGCAAGGGGGUCAUCCCGACUUACCAACCCGAUGCAAACUGCGAAUACCGGAGAAUGUUAUCACGGGAGACACACGGCGGGUGCUAACGUCCGUCGUGAAGAGGGAAACAACCCAGACCGCCAGCUAAGGUCCCAAAGUCAUGGUUAAGUGGGAAACGAUGUGGGAAGGCCCAGACAGCCAGGAUGUUGGCUUAGAAGCAGCCAUCAUUUAAAGAAAGCGUAAUAGCUCACUGGUCGAGUCGGCCUGCGCGGAAGAUGUAACGGGGCUAAACCAUGCACCGAAGCUGCGGCAGCGACACUAUGUGUUGUUGGGUAGGGGAGCGUUCUGUAAGCCUGUGAAGGUGGCCUGUGAGGGUUGCUGGAGGUAUCAGAAGUGCGAAUGCUGACAUAAGUAACGAUAAAGCGGGUGAAAAGCCCGCUCGCCGGAAGACCAAGGGUUCCUGUCCAACGUUAAUCGGGGCAGGGUGAGUCGACCCCUAAGGCGAGGCCGAAAGGCGUAGUCGAUGGGAAACAGGUUAAUAUUCCUGUACUUGGUGUUACUGCGAAGGGGGGACGGAGAAGGCUAUGUUGGCCGGGCGACGGUUGUCCCGGUUUAAGCGUGUAGGCUGGUUUUCCAGGCAAAUCCGGAAAACCAAGGCUGAGGCGUGAUGACGAGGCACUACGGUGCUGAAGUGACAAAUGCCCUGCUUCCAGGAAAAGCCUCUAAGCAUCAGGUAACAUCAAAUCGUACCCCAAACCGACACAGGUGGUCAGGUAGAGAAUACCAAGGCGCUUGAGAGAACUCGGGUGAAGGAACUAGGCAAAAUGGUGCCGUAACUUCGGGAGAAGGCACGCUGAUAUGUAGGUGAAGCGACUUGCUCGUGGAGCUGAAAUCAGUCGAAGAUACCAGCUGGCUGCAACUGUUUAUUAAAAACACAGCACUGUGCAAACACGAAAGUGGACGUAUACGGUGUGACGCCUGCCCGGUGCCGGAAGGUUAAUUGAUGGGGUUAGCGGUAACGCGAAGCUCUUGAUCGAAGCCCCGGUAAACGGCGGCCGUAACUAUAACGGUCCUAAGGUAGCGAAAUUCCUUGUCGGGUAAGUUCCGACCUGCACGAAUGGCGUAAUGAUGGCCAGGCUGUCUCCACCCGAGACUCAGUGAAAUUGAACUCGCUGUGAAGAUGCAGUGUACCCGCGGCAAGACGGAAAGACCCCGUGAACCUUUACUAUAGCUUGACACUGAACAUUGAGCCUUGAUGUGUAGGAUAGGUGGGAGGCUUUGAAGUGUGGACGCCAGUCUGCAUGGAGCCGACCUUGAAAUACCACCCUUUAAUGUUUGAUGUUCUAACGUUGGCCCGUAAUCCGGGUUGCGGACAGUGUCUGGUGGGUAGUUUGACUGGGGCGGUCUCCUCCUAAAGAGUAACGGAGGAGCACGAAGGUUGGCUAAUCCUGGUCGGACAUCAGGAGGUUAGUGCAAUGGCAUAAGCCAGCUUGACUGCGAGCGUGACGGCGCGAGCAGGUGCGAAAGCAGGUCAUAGUGAUCCGGUGGUUCUGAAUGGAAGGGCCAUCGCUCAACGGAUAAAAGGUACUCCGGGGAUAACAGGCUGAUACCGCCCAAGAGUUCAUAUCGACGGCGGUGUUUGGCACCUCGAUGUCGGCUCAUCACAUCCUGGGGCUGAAGUAGGUCCCAAGGGUAUGGCUGUUCGCCAUUUAAAGUGGUACGCGAGCUGGGUUUAGAACGUCGUGAGACAGUUCGGUCCCUAU
rnacentral:rRNA from 1 species